ensembl:rRNA 5S_rRNA 5S ribosomal RNA
GUCUAUGGCCAUACCACCCUGAACACGCCCGAUCUCGUCUGAUCUCGGAAGCUAAGCAGGGUCGGGCCUGGUUAGUACUUGGAUGGGAGACCACCUGGGAAUACCAGGUGCUGUAGGGU